rnacentral:rRNA from 1 species
GACGAACGCUGGCGGCGUGCUUAACACAUGCAAGUCGAGCGAUGAAGUUUUUUCGGAAAUGGAUUAGCGGCGAACGGGUGAGGAACACGUGAAGAAUCUGCCCUCCACUUUGGGAUAACACAGGGAAACUUGUGCUAAUACCGCAUAUUGAAACAUAAGUGGCAUCACUGAGUUUUGAAAGAAUUUCGGUGGAGGAUGACUUCGCGGCCUAUCAGCUAGUUGGUGAGGGAAUGGCUCACCAAGGCAACGACGGGUAGCCGGCCUGAGAGGGCGACCGGCCACACUGGGACUGAGACACGGCCCAGACUCCUACGGGAGGCAGCAGUGGGGAAUAUUGGGCAAUGGAGGAAACACUGACCCAGCGACGCCGCGUGCGGGAUGAAGGCCUUCGGGUUGUAAACCGCUUUCAGUAGGGAAGAAGCGAAAGUGACGGUACCUACAAAAGAAGCACCGGCUAACUAUGUGCCAGCCGCCGCCGUAA